rnacentral:rRNA from 1 species
GCUGAAGGUUGGUACUUGUACCGACUGGAUGAGCAGCGAACGGGUGAGUAACGCGUGGGGAAUCUGCCUUUGAGCGGGGGACAACAUUUGGAAACGAAUGCUAAUACCGCAUAAAAACUUUAAACACAAGUUUUAAGUUUGAAAGAUGCAAUUGCAUCACUCAAAGAUGAUCCCGCGUUGUAUUAGCUAGUUGGUGAGGUAAAGGCUCACCAAGGCGAUGAUACAUAGCCGACCUGAGAGGGUGAUCGGCCACAUUGGGACUGAGACACGGCCCAAACUCCUACGGGAGGCAGCAGUAGGGAAUCUUCGGCAAUGGACGAAAGUCUGACCGAGCAACGCCGCGUGAGUGAAGAAGGUUUUCGGAUCGUAAAACUCUGUUGGUAGAGAAGAACGUUGGUGAGAGUGGAAAGCUCAUCAAGUGACGGUAACUACCCAGAAAGGGACGGCUAACUACGUGCCAGCAGCCGCGGUAAUACGUAGGUCCCGAGCGUUGUCCGGAUUUAUUGGGCGUAAAGCGAGCGCAGGUGGUUUAUUAAGUCUGGUGUAAAAGGCAGUGGCUCAACCAUUGUAUGCAUUGGAAACUGGUAGACUUGAGUGCAGGAGAGGAGAGUGGAAUUCCAUGUGUAGCGGUGAAAUGCGUAGAUAUAUGGAGGAACACCGGUGGCGAAAGCGGCUCUCUGGCCUGUAACUGACACUGAGGCUCG